rnacentral:lncRNA from 1 species
AUCAAAAAUCAACAUGAUUAAAGGUCUAGUUAAACCACAAAAGAAGUAAAUGCUCAGUUGAAAUCAAAUACUGAUUUUUGAUUGGAAUUUUUUUCCUUUGACAUCUCUCCAUUCUACAAAGAAUUUUGAAAUAGAUUGGUUUAUUUAGAAAAAAUUACAUCUAGGCAUACUUUUUCAUUGUCAACUUACAUAUAGACAUACUUUAAGCAUGUGACAUACUUUCUCUUGACAAAAUACCUAAAGAGCCCUUUCAAUUUUAACUGGUUGGUUGGAAACGUGAGUUAAGGUUGGUUACUCAAUCAAUCGCCCUUUCACAUCUCUAUUUUGUUUUCUCUUUGCAUUUCUUCUCUCCCACAUAUCUCAUUCGUCCAACACCAGAUCUCUUUUUCAAAUCACAGAAUCUAUCAUUUUUUUUCUUUUUCUUUUUCAUUUUUCAUUUUUCAUCUUUCAUCCUUGUUGUUUGGCUCCUCUUUCCUUUUUAUUCUUUUCUUUCUUUUUAUCUAACUCAAAUCCGUGAAUUUUUCAAAACAACACUAUCAUCUCAAUUCUUGGCACGAUUACCGUCAUCACCACAACUUCUUUCAUCGCCAUUGCCACAACUCUUCUUGGGGCCGCCGCCGCACUUGCAGAACCACCACUGCAAUUCUUUCCCAUCGUUUUUGAGAAAGCCCUGAACACACGAACACUUUGACCACAUGAACAUUGACUGUAACUCUGACCAUAUGAAUACUAACCCCGAUUCUGAUCAUAUGAACACUAACCCUAACCAUCCUUUCUCUCCACGAAAACCAUGACUAUGUGGUUUCCAACCGUAACCACCAGCUCAACGAAACCCCUAACCACGAAAGAGCAACCAACCUUUCACUAUAACCCUGACCGCAAAUGUCUGUUCUUAUUAACCACAUCAAUCCUAAAUAGGCAAAAUCUGCGCCUGACCACACAUUUCUGACCACAAAACCCAACACUCAGAUCAAAGUCGUUCACUAUUUAACUAACAUUUAAAGCCAACAAAACCAGAUUUUUUUUGUCACUAUUUUCCUUUAAU